UCGCUUCUUCCCCCUCUUUACUUGAGUCAACCAAUGACGUCAUGUAAAACGUCAGUUUAAAAAAGUCCAAAAAAGAUUCAAAUUUUUUAGUAGCUUGGGCUAAUAAACAGUAAGGAUUUUUAACUUGUGAGUGGUUUCAACUGGGCUACAAAUUAGUGCAAAAAUAAGUCAAUUUGUUGACUUAUCGCGAGUUUAAUGCGAGUUUCUUGGUGAUUCAAAGAAGUCACUUACCUUCUUUCUUGUUCUAUAUAUUUGUUUACAUUGGAUCAUGUGAUUGCGAUGUCUUUUUAUAUUGUGAUGAACAAAUUGCUGUCAUCAGUUAAUAAUAAAUAGAUAAAGAGGAUUUAGCUAUCAACAGACAUGAACGUGAUUGGAAAUAUCGAUAUGCAAUUUAUGAGAGUUAACCAAUCCGGAUCUGCACUGGACCAGUCUUCUGGUGUUGUCGAGGAACACGGAAAAUCCAUGAUAGAGACAAAAAGUGAUGAAGUAGCCGACUAAUUAGUUUAAGAUCAAGAUGUUGUUGAGGAAUUUACUGAAGCUCCUAGUGUUCUACCGAUCAACACAGAUGAUUUUCUGGUUGGAAAUAAAACUACAGACUUGAUAGAGAUUGGUGAUCUUAUUCAACUUUCAGAUUCAUCAAUAGAUCCAAAUGUAUGUGAAUCAAAUGACCGAUCAAUCUGUGAAUCUGGAACAGUUUAAACUAAAACAACAGAUAUGGUUAUCGAUAUCGUAGCAGAGGAUAUUGAACUAAUAAAAUUUGAUGACUCGAUCCAGUUAAAAUCAGAGUCUGGAAAAGAUAAUAUGAUAAUUUUGAUAUCUGAAGAUGGAGAGGAAUCGAAAGAAUUAAGCAAUUCAUCAAGUACAGAAUUUCCUGAAGUUAUUCAAGUGAAGAUUAAGAAAAUCAACAAGUUGGAUGAUGUCUUAUGAUGAUAUUGAUGAGCUUGAAAAUGGCCAAG